UACGAAUCGUCCAAACGUUGUUCGGAUUCACUGGGUUUAAAGGGCGCGUAGGCGGUGCGUUAAGUCGGCGGUGAAAUACUUCGGCUCAACCGGAGAAUUGCCGCUGAAACUGGCGUGCUCGAGGGAGGUAGAGGUGCGUGGAACUUCCGGUGGAGCGGUGAAAUGCGUUGAUAUCGGAAGGAACACCUGUGGCGAAAGCGAUGCACUGGACCUCUUCUGACGCUGAGGCGCGAAAGCCAGGGGAGCAAACGGG
rnacentral:rRNA from 1 species